ACCACACACUCGCAUCUACAGUCAAGUAAGUAGCCGCCAUUUUCAUUAUCCGGACAGGAGCCUGACCUAACCUUAUGCCGGGAAUCGUAGUUUUUAAUUUUUGUAAACACCCUGAAAUCAGACAAAAUCAGCAACGUGCACAUUGGUGAACUAUCUAAUGAUUGUCUCACAUUGCUGCCGCCAAAAGGAUCAACUGCACAGACAAACGAUGGCGACCGAUCAGACAACUGAUCAUGUAAAUGGGAAUGGUACAGAGGAACCAAUAGACAUAACUGAAGUGGACAAAACUACAGCUGAGGUUAUCCAUUCAGACAAUUUCCAGACUUUAUUAGAUGCUGGUUUACCACAGAAAGUUGCAGAAAAACUAGAUGCAAUUUACAUAGCAGGCUUGGUAUCGCACAGUGACCUAGAUGAAAGGGCUAUUGAAGCAUUGAAAGAAUUUAACGAAGAAGGUGCUCUACAAGUCCUGCUUGAAUUUAAGGAAAGUGAUCUGUCACACGUGCAAAACAAAAGUGCCUUCCUCUGUGGAGUAAUGAAGACUUAUAGACAGAGGGAGAAGCAAGGAACCAAAGUUUUAGAUUCCACGAAAGGACCAGAUGAGGCGAAAAUAAAAGCUCUGCUUGAUAGAACCAUCUAUACACUUGAUGUGACAACGGGUCAGCGGAAGUAUGGAGGCCCCCCCCCAGAGUCUGUGUAUUCAGGUGCUCAACCCACUAUUGGAACAGAGAUAUUUGUUGGGAAAAUUCCUCGAGACUUGUUUGAGGAUGAGCUGGUGCCCCUCUUUGAGAAGGCGGGACCUAUCUGGGAUCUACGUCUAAUGAUGGACCCCCUGAGUGGCUUGAACAGGGGUUACGCCUUUGUCACCUUCUGCACUAAAGAGGCUGCCUCGGAGGCUGUAAACCUGUGUAAUAAUCAUGAAAUACGCCCCGGCAAACACAUUGGAGUGUGUAUAUCUGUUGCCAAUAACCGGCUGUUUGUCGGCUCCAUCCCCAAGAGUAAAACAAAAGAACAGAUUGUGGAGGAGUUUGCUAAAGUCACAGAGGGUCUUAAUGAUGUCAUACUGUACCAUCAGCCAGAUGACAAAAAGAAGAACAGAGGUUUUUGCUUUUUGGAAUACGAGGACCAUAAAACUGCUGCUCAGGCCAGACGCAGGCUAAUGAGUGGCAAGGUGAAAGUGUGGGGGAACGUGGUUACUGUGGAAUGGGCAGACCCCAUCGAGGACCCAGAUCCAGAGGUUAUGGCCAAGGUCAAAGUUUUGUUUGUCCGAAACCUUGCGAACAGUGUUACGGAAGAAAUACUUGAAAACUCCUUCGGCCAGUUUGGUAAACUGGAGCGAGUGAAGAAGCUGAAAGAUUACGCCUUCGUUCAUUUUGAUGAGAGGGACGCUGCAGUCAAGGCGUUGGCUCAAAUGAAUGGCAAAGUUCUGGAAGGAGAGCACAUUGACAUAGUUUUUGCAAAGCCCCCUGAUCAGAAGAGGAAGGAACGCAAAGCUCAGAGACAAGCAGCCAGAACAAACAUGUAUGAUGAUGAUUAUUAUUACAACUACGGCCCCCCUCAGUUGCCCCCUCCCACAAGAGGCGGCCGGGGUAGGGGAGGUUAUUCUUACCCACCCGACUAUUAUGGCUACGAUGAUUACGACGAUUAUUAUGGUUAUGAUUAUCCCAACUACCGCGGGGGAUACGACUAUGACUACGACUACUACGGCUAUGAUGACUUUCAGGCUCCCGCUAGAGGAAGAGGUGGCAGAGGUGCACGGGGGGCAUCCCCAGCCAGAGGUAGGCCAGGUGCUCCCAGGGGAAGAGGUGGCUUUUCCCCGCGUGGUGGUCCAGGAUCAAGCAGAGGAGGUGUGCAACAGAGAGGCCGCGGCGGGCAGGGAAAAGUGGUCGAGGCCGGUCCUGACCUGUCACUAUGAAGACUGAGCUGCUAUGUGGGGUUAUACUGGAAGCUGCCAAUUGAAGUGAUGUACCGCACGAGUACGCGUCCUAGAUGUUCCAACUCUGGACAGGUGAGCAUGUAUUUUAACCCGUUAACCAGUGUCUGACAAUGGGCGAGUGUUUUGCAUCGCCAGGCGCUCUAUUAUUGCUUGUGUCGUUUUGUCAACUACUGCUUAGACUGCCUACUAUUUGUCAUAAUCUUCAUAGUAUACUGCCAUAUCAAUGAUUGCUGGAAAAAAUAACUAGCCAAUGUUUGCGAUGAGAAAUUAACAUUAAAUCACUAUUUUGACUGUGUGUCUUGCUCGUGUUUGAUAUUCUUGCUGCAUUUUAACUCUGCAGCUAAAAAGAACAUGGACUUGCUAGACUGCUUAUGUUUGCAACAGACAACUGUUCCAACCGACACAGUUUGUACAAAGCAUGAUGGCUGCAUGUAACGCCACCUCCUGAAAAGAAUUACAUUAAGUCACGCUUGAGGCAUGGAAAGCAUAGUUUGAACAUGUUGACCAUAUCUUAAGUAUAGACUAAAAAAAAUGUAUGUAUGUAUAUAGUGUAGGCUACAACAUUAAGUGGAAGCAGCAGUGGAACACUGAGCAGACACUACUGUGGGCAGCAAGUUUAGUAAAAAAAUAAAUACUGCACAUGUGCAGAAAGCUCAUUAUCCACGGCAAGUGUGGUUCCAGAAAAUCCAAAACCACAGCCAUGCCAUUGUUAUUAUAAGCUUGCCACCUACCCCAUGUCUCCAAAGAAUAUGCCAUUUUAAAAUUACUAUUGAAGAUGUUGUGUUCCCAGUGGAAUGUUCAUCCCGAAAUGUAGUAAUUCCUUUUACACUUUGUCUAAGUUUGAAGUGGCUCAGAGGAGCUUGACACCAAUGUAUAUUUUGAUGAAUAAUGCAGCUUUACGAUGGAAUAGACCUAUUUAAUUCUGUUUUGAUUUUGAUUGGUUUUAAUAUAAUGUUUAGGAGGGUUUUUUAGGUUUAACCAACUGGCAUAAUGGUCAGGCAUUCCAGGAAAGUGGUUAUUUUCAGAACUUGUCUUUAAAGGGUCGGUUAAAUACCUCUGUACAGAGGAUCAAACUGCCCUGUCUACUUUUAAAGUAUGGAAACGUAAUUGAUGAAAGCAGGGCUUGUUCCAUGUAGUUUGUUUAUUAUAGGUGCUGCAUGCUCUUAUUCUAACACUGCCAACAGUCAAGCUGAGCAUGUUAAAUAAUCUCAUAUAAUGAGCGAAUGAAGGAACAAACCUUGCUUUCAUAUGGUUUGAACUGCAUUGGCUAUGUGCUUAUUCAUAUAAUGUAGUUAUAGGUUGUAUAAUAGUUUAGGAAAAUGGUACUUCUUGUAAAAGCUUGAAGGAAAGACAUGUUUUUUUCAGAAGCAUUGCAGUGUCUCUUCUUUCUGGGAUAGGAUAGUAAGUAUUUUGUAUAUGAUCCAUUCCUUUUGGUUGCCUGGAAACCCAAUGUAGCAUUAUAUGCCAUUCAACAUUGGGUUUUCAGGCAACCCAUUUGGAAAGUUGCAUACACAUUUAAGUUUAAGAGACAUCAGUCUACUUUGUGUACAUACAUUUGCCUAAUCAUGAUGUACAACAUGAAUGUCGAUCCGACAUCUAUGAGCUGCCUUAUUGUCACAUAUGUGACAAGUGUCUUGAAUCUGCAUCAUGUUGAGCAUGUAAUUUAGUAUCGGAGUUAGCUGGAUAUUAUUUGGUAUAUCCAGUUAAAAUGGGAUACUGCAUCUUAAAUAAAAUAAAAAUGUGUUUCCUGGAUUGCAUAAAGGAGACAACUUAA